rnacentral:rRNA from 1 species
UACGAAGGGGGCUAGCGUUGUUCGGAAUUACUGGGCGUAAAGCGCACGUAGGCGGAUAUUUAAGUCAGGGGUGAAAUCCCGGGGCUCAACCCCGGAACUGCCUUUGAUACUGGGUAUCUCGAGUCCGAGAGAGGUGAGUGGAAUUCCGAGUGUAGAGGUGCAAUUCGUAGAUAUUCGGAGGAACACCAGUGGCGAAGGCGGCUCACUGGCUCGGUACUGACGCUGAGGUGCGAAAGCGUGGGGAGCAAACAGG